UCGGGAAUUUUGGGCAAUGGGCGAAAGCCUGACCCAGCAACGCCGCGUGAAGGAUGAAGUAUUUCGGUAUGUAAACUUCGAAAGAAUAGGAAGAAUAAAUGACGGUACUAUUUAUAAGCUCCGGCUAACUACGUGCCAGCAGCCGCGGUAAUACGUAGGGAGCAAGCGUUGUUCGGAUUUACUGGGCGUAAAGGGCGCGUAGGCGGCGCGGUAAGUCACUUGUGAAAUCUCUGAGCUUAACUCAGAACGGCCAAGUGAUACUGCAGUGCUAGAGUGCAGAAGGGGCAAUCGGAAUUCUUGGUGUAGCGGUGAAAUGCGUAGAUAUCAAGAGGAACACCUGAGGUGAAGACGGGUUGCUGGGCUGACACUGACGCUGAGGCGCGAAAGCUAGGGGAGCAAACGGGAUUAGAUACCCAAGUAGUCCCUGAGCGGGCUGGCAAGGCGCAU
rnacentral:rRNA from 1 species